GACGAACGCUGGCGGCGUGCUUAACACAUGCAAGUCGAACGGAAAGGCCCUGCUUUUGUGGGGUGCUCGAGUGGCGAACGGGUGAGUAACACGUGAGUAACCUGCCCUUGACUUUGGGAUAACUUCAGGAAACUGGGGCUAAUACCGGAUAGGAGCUCCUGCUGCAUGGUGGGGGUUGGAAAGUUUCGGCGGUUGGGGAUGGACUCGCGGCUUAUCAGCUUGUUGGUGGGGUAGUGGCUUACCAAGGCUGUGACGGGUAGCCGGCCUGAGAGGGUGACCGGCCACAUUGGGACUGAGAUACGGACCAGACUCCUACGGGAGGCAGCAGUGGGGAAUAUUGCACAAUGGGCGGAAGCCUGAUGCAGCAACGCCGCGUGCGGGAUGACGGCCUUCGGGUUGUAAACCGCUUUCGCCUGUGACGAAGCGUGAGUGACGGUAAUGGGUAAAGAAGCACCGGCUAACUACGUG
rnacentral:rRNA from 1 species